AAAAAAUUUGACAUUGUAUUUCACAUUUAAAGUCGUGACUGCCGGGCAAUGGUAUUAUAUGUUUCGAGACGAUAUCAGUGACGAAUGAGACGCGAAAGUGUACACACGGAAAAUAUAAACACUGUCUUAUGUGCGAUACGAACGUUUCAAAUUCUUAUUAGCAGAAUUCUUGUACCUUCUUAAUUAUAAACUCUCUAUUGUUCAACAUUACAUCACAGUUCUGUGACUAAGAAGUUAUUUUUAUUAUAAACGAAUAAAAAGGAUGGUUAGUUUCAAAAUUUCCGCACCGGGCCGAAUCGUCUUAGCCGGAGAGCAUUCAGCAAUGUAUCAAAAACACUUUGUCUCGACCAGUUUAGACCGUCGUACCAAACUCACAUUUCGUGAAUUACCAGAAGGGUGGCCAAUUGAAAUAGAAUUCCCAGAUGUGAAUCUACAGAUUCAAGUACCUUUAGAAGAAGUUCGAAGCUUCUUUUCUGAAGAGCAAGAGAACCAAUUAAAUCUAAACUUUAGGAUUAAAUACGUGAAAUCCUUCAUUACUUUCAACGGCAUGUGGCAGUCGUUCACGCAGAGAUUUAGUUUACAAAUGUUUUUUUACUUGCUUUAUAGUAUUGCUGUCUAUGAGAAACUUGACAUUAGAUCUUUUCACGUGCACGUGACCACGAAUAUACCGCUCGAUGCUGGUCUUGGCAGUUCGACAUCAUUCGCUGUGUGUCUGGCUGCGUGUUUUCUUCAUUGGUGUCGUUUACAGAGUGAUCAUCAUGAAAAUAUUGAAUUUAAUCACAUAGACUUUUUGAUGGAUGUUGGAGUGUACGUUAAAAAUUGCGAGGAACGUAUGCAAGACUAUCAAUAUACGCAGAUCGAUACCGACGUUUGUGUAUUCGGUUUUGCAACAAAUAAUCUACUUGCCGAUAAUUACGUAGAGUACGUUUUUGAGGAUUUCGAAGAGAUGGCAAGAAUAAAGAUUCUACUGAUCGAUUCAGGUAUUCGCCAGGAAAAGUGCGAUCAAGCAAGACAAAUGGCACAGCUGAAAACUCAAUCUUCUUUUGCGUUUGAUUACAUGUUCAAUAUAUUAAAUAAUUUAUCAUUAAACAUGUAUUAUUGGCUCAAUUUACUAAGUAUUAAUAUUCGGAAUGGCAAUUUAGCUGAGCAAGAAUUUUAUUAUGAAAAAUUACAGGCGCAUCAUUUCGAACAUUCCCUUAGACACCGGUCUUGGCAGUUCGACAUCAUAUUCGCAGCAUGCUUUCUUCUUUGGGAAGAUAUACAGGAUAAUACACGUGAUAUUCGUGAUUUGAUCAUCUUCUUUUGAUGCCAGUUAAACGUUUCGCUAAAAGAUGCGAACAAGUGAUGCAAGACUUUGGAUGUAAGCAGAUCGAUGCCGACGUUUGUAUUUGCCAAGAAAAGUACGAUCAACCAAUAAAAAUGGCAGAGCUGAAAUCUGCAUCUCCUGCGUCUUCUAAACCGUAAUAUUCGAAAUGUCAAUUUACUUCAACAGCAAUUGUAUUAUGAUAAAUUACAGUAUUACAUUAAAGAGACUCAACUAUUAUUAAAGAAUCAUGACAUAUCCAAUGAGCCAUUCAAUCAUAUUUUCGAAAAAGCAAGCUCCAUUGAAUACUCUGCAAAGCUUACAGGUUUUGGACCUAGAUAUUCAUAUAUUGUGUUACCACCGAGCUUUACAAACGGAGAAAUCGUGGAUAUUAUAAUACAGUUUAAGGAUACAAAUUUAACUCCUACACUUACAAGCAUUAAUCGUGAUGCUGUAACACUUGAUGAAUACCAUUUUAAUUAAUUCUGUUAAAAUUAUCGCGUUUAUUAUAUAUAAUGACUUAAUAAUAACAUCUAAUUAAAUGUAAAAAAUUUGUCGGAAUUAAUAACUUAAUUACUGUAGUAUUCAAAAAAAUGACAAAAAGUAUACAUUUUUUUUUAAUGUAUGAAUAUAUACUGUUGCUUAAAAAUUGCGGUUUUAUAAUGACGUCAUAUUGAAUUAUGAAGUCGAAGGUCUGAAAUCAUUUAACAUUUUUCUCGUCAAAAUUAUCGAAAGAUAUUAAGUCUCUUCGUAUUCUAUCUUAUAUUAACCUUUAAAAAUAUAAGCGAUCUUGAGUCGAAAUCAUGU